rnacentral:rRNA from 1 species
UACGUAGGGCGCGAGCGUUGUCCGGAAUUAUUGGGCGUAAAGCGCUUGUAGGCGGCACGUCAAGUCGCGUGUGAAAUCCCCAGGCUUAACCUGGGAAGUGCGCGCGAAACUGACGAGCUUGAGUGCCGGAGAGGGUCGCGGAAUUCCCGGUGUAGAGGUGAAAUUCGUAGAUAUCGGGAGGAACACCAGUGGCGAAGGCGGCGACCUGGACGGACACUGACGCUGAGACGCGAAAGCGUGGGGAGCAAACAGG